rnacentral:lncRNA from 1 species
GAAUGUAGUCUUGAACCAGCCAUGCUUUUGCACUAAUUUUAGGCCAUGUUAUGGGCCAAAAUGAUUGUCCUGAUCAACCCAAUAUGAUCCAUUAGCCCUUAUUGGCCCAUGAUCUGAAAUGGUCAUGAAAUUUACAAUUCUGGACUUCGCAUUGUGGGCUUGGAGAAUUCUAGUGAAAGACUUGUGCUAAUCGAAUUCUUCAAGGCUUCUUGCAUUUUCUUUCUUCUUGAACAUGUCAUUGGACCAGCAAUGUUGAUCAAAUUAUCAUCUUCACAAACUUGAGCUUCCUGAUUAGCAACAUUUGAGCUUU